rnacentral:rRNA from 1 species
UGGGGAAACCCAGUGUGACUCGUCACACUAUCAUUAACUGAAUCCAUAGGUUAAUGAGGCGAACCGGGGGAACUGAAACAUCUAAGUACCCCGAGGAAAAGAAAUCAACCGAGAUUCCCCCAGUAGCGGCGAGCGAACGGGGAGGAGCCCAGAGCCUGAAUCAGCAUGUGUGUUAGUGGAAGCGUCUGGAAAGGCGCGCGAUACAGGGUGACAGCCCCGUACACAAAAGCGCAUGUGCUGUGAGCUCGAUGAGUAGGGCGGGACACGUGGUAUCCUGUCUGAAUAUGGGGGGACCAUCCUCCAAGGCUAAAUACUCCUGACUGACCGAUAGUGAACCAGUACCGUGAGGGAAAGGCGAAAAGAACCCCGGCGAGGGGAGUGAAAAAGAACCUGAAACCGUGUACGUACAAGCAGUGGGAGCCCCACCACUAAGCCAGUGGUGAACUCCACAUACGCAUCCUUUGCUGAGGAUACGGUUAACGGAGCGCAAGCGACGUUCAACCGCAAAAGAAGCAGAGGGGGCUUAGUGGUGGGGUGACUGCGUACCUUUUGUAUAAUGGGUCAGCGACUUAUAUUCUGUAGCAAGGUUAACCGAAUAGGGGAGCCGGAGGGAAACCGAGUCUUAACCGGGCGUUAAGUUGCAGGGUAUAGACCCGAAACCCGGUGAUCUAGCCAUGGGCAGGUUGAAGGUUGG